UACAGAGGUGGCAAGCGUUGUUCGGAAUUACUGGGCGUAAAGGGCGCGUAGGCGGUCUUGUAAGUCUUGUGUGAAAUCCCUCGGCUUAACUGAGGAACUGCACGGGAUACUGCGAGACUUGAGUUCGGGAGAGGGAAGCGGAAUUCCGGGGUGUAGCGGUGAAAUGCGUAGAUAUCGUAAGGAAGGCCGGGUGGCGAAAGCGAGCCUCUGGACAGUUACUGACGCUGAUGCA
rnacentral:rRNA from 1 species